CAACAGUUAUGCCUGGGAUUGUUUUUUGUUUUGUUUUGUUUUUUCUUUUUAUUUAGUUGGUUUUCAUUUUGUUUUGUUUUGUUUUGUUUUGUUUUCCAUUUUGCAGCUGGGUCUCAAAAGGAUUAAGCAACUUGCCCAAGGUCACAGAGCAAUGACACACUGGCACCAGGAGCAAACCCUGGGCGCCUGAAUGGAGCUCUUAGCCACCCUGUAGUGCUGCUCUCUGAGUACAUGUCGUGAGUUUCAAAUGAGAAAAUCCAAAGGAGGCAACCGUCAGUGCCCGGAGCCAGCUUCAGACCAGCCACUGUGGAUUGUCACUGGGCCCUCUAGCCGGCCCCCGGACCAGGGCGCAGGCCUCGGGGGGGAAAGCGGCGGGCGCAGCUCACUGGCAGGUGUUCCAGACCUACAGGCUGAGCAUCCCUGCAGCAGGAAAGCCAAGAGUCAGAAGAGCAAAACAGCUGGCCCGAGGUUCCACAGACAGCUGAUGGCCAGCUCCAGACUGCCUGGGUCUGGGUCCGCUUCGCUCCCCAAGAGCCAUCAUGUCAACCGCAUGCUCGAUUGAAGGGGGAUGGGCUCAUCCAGACACAGUACCCUUUGAUUCUCCAUCAUCCAGGAGCCUCCCCCAGAGAGAUGGAUUAGAAAAUGAACCCUUCCCUGACCAUCCCAGCCUCUGAACACUAAGGACAGUCAGAAGUGAGUCUGAAACAUUUUAAUAAAAAUCCUACAUCUGUG
rnacentral:lncRNA from 12 species